AGAUGACAAGAGCAAAAGAAUAAUUUUUUAUUCAUGUGAGCGCUAUGGUUUUUGGCUAACAGUAAAUUGAAAGCAAAAUUUGUUUUAAAAAUAAGCGGGAAUAUCGAAGACCAUCCUAUAAGAACAUAAUCAGCAUGGACCGUAAAAAUAUACUGAAACUACUAGCUGGAACGAUUCUAACACUCCACGUUGGAUUUUACUUCAUCAAACCGUUACUUCUCCCGGAAUCAUCACAAGAUAAGGCUGGAAUGUCGAAAUCGCGACCAACCUAUUGAAAGGAUUUUUUCUUCAUGCUGUGAUAUCUUUUAUAAAUAAUUUUUUUAUGAACUUAGAAGAGCAUGUUUUAGUUUAAUAGAGCAUGGAAAUAA